UAAAAAUCAUGAAAUUUGAAAUCAGCGCAGGACAUCUUCUUCUAUGUAACCAUUUUUUUUUUUGUCCCCAAAACCAUUUCCCCCCAAAUCUUUCCCUCCCUCCCUCUCUCCAUCUCCUCUCCUCAACCCCACCGUGAACCCGCCAUCGUCGACGACUCACGAGCCCGCCACCGUCGAUCACUCACGAGCCCGCGACUCCACUGUUGGUUCUCCAUCUCCGGCCAAAACCCAACCACCGGGGUUCUCCAUCUCCGGUUCGGCUCCGCUCCGAUGACCCAACCACCGUACCGCCACGAGCAGCCCCAGCCGAACCACCACCGCCGACGAGCCCAUCCACCUUAAGUUUUUCUUUGUUAUUAUUAUUAUUAUUAUUAUUAUUAUCUUUCCUUUUGAUUUUCUCUCCAGAUCCGGUUUUGUUAGUUUUUUAUGGGUGAGAUUUGGCUAAGAAAAUGCAGGAAUUGGAGGGACAAAAUUGGCUGAGAUUUGGGCUCCCACAGUUCCUGCGACCAUUUCCCUCCCCCAUUUCCGGCACCGCAUAGGGUGGCUAUGACCAUUUGAUUGGUACGUCAGAGCAUGGACAGACUGUUAAUUCAUCCGAUCUGACCAUACCUACUUCAGAUCAAAUGCUAUAUGCAACAACUACUAUGUAGACUUGACCAUUGUAAUAGUCAUGGUGUUUGGAAAUGGUAUCACUCACAGCAUUGGACCACCAUAUGCAUCAGCUUUAUAGCACAACCCAUUAGAUGGUUUUACUUGUCAGGAGUUCACACAACAAGCAAUGUAGAAAAUCCACCUUUUUUAUGUCUACUUUGUCCAUUUCAUUUCCUUGAAGAUGAAAAAUGGUUAAUUGUCCAUAUUGAUCGGCAUUUAAUCGUUUACCCUUUCCCAAUUUGCUUAGAAAAAGAAAAAAGAAAAUUGUUUAUAUCAUGAAUUUGUUAGAGAUCCUUCAAAUGUACUACUGAGGUUCAUCAACAAGCAAGUGUCAUUUAAUGAUGUUCAAUGGCUUGUGUUAUACUAACAUAGCAUGGAUAAGUAACAAGUUUCACCUUACUGUUCAUAUCUCUUAUUUGUUUGGGCAUCAUGAUGACAACAGUUAUCAUUUAUAAGUUGAGCAACUGCAUAAAAUCUUCAAACUUUGUGGGUCACUUUUUGAAGAGUAUCGGAAGAAGUCAAAAUUGUCACAUGCAACCAUCUUUAAGCCUCAACACCCUUACAAGUGUACAGUUGCUGAGACAUUCAAGGACUUUCCUGAUCCAGCAUUGUCCCUUUUGGAUGUCCUUCUUGCAGUAGAACCCAGGGGCUGCGGAACAGCUUCUUCUGCACUCCAGAGUGAGGGAAGAGUUCAGAUAUAGGAGGUCAUUCUAGGUGCCGAAGACGUUGAUUGAGGUGGUGUAUUCCAAAUCAAGUGUAGUUUUUUUGGAUGAUGAGAUUAGGAAGUCUAUUGAGAGGGUUUAAUCCUGAAUGGGGAUGAUAAAUGACUGUGUUAGUUAGAAGUGGUAUUAUUGUGAGAAAUUUUAUAGAACAAAAUUUGGAAUGUUCAUAAUAUUUAUUGAACAAAAUUUAUUGUGAGAAA